rnacentral:tRNA from 1 species
GCUUGUGUAGUUUAAAGGAAAAUUCUGGCUUGUGGGUUCAGAGAUGUAUAUUAAUACUUCGAGCA